UACGUAGGGUGCAAGCGUUUGUCCGGAAUUAUUGGGCGUAAAGAGCUCGUAGGCGGUCUGUCGCGUCUGCUGUGAAAACUCAGGGCUUAACCCUGAGCUUGCAGUGGGUACGGGCAGACUAGAGUGCGGUAGGGGGAGACUGGAAUUCCUGGUGUAGCGGUGAAAUGCGUAGAGAUCGGGGAGGAACACCAGAGGCGAAGGCGGCAAGCUGGAUGGGCACUGACACUCGAAACUACGAAGGCGUGGGGGAGCAAACAGG
rnacentral:rRNA from 1 species